GCGUCCGUAGCUCAGCUGGAUAGAGCACCGGACUUCGGUUCCGGGGGUCGAGUGUUCGAAUCAUUCCGGGCGCGCCA
rnacentral:tRNA from 1 species